rnacentral:rRNA from 1 species
GAUGAACGCUGGCGGCGUGCUUAACACAUGCAAGUCGAGCGAACAGGCCAGCUUUUUGUUGUUCUGUUGUUAUCCGCGGAUGGGGGACUAACACGUGAAUCACCUAUCUAUAAGACUGGGCUAACUUCUAGAAACCGGAGCUAAUACCGGAUUACCUUUUGAACUGCAUGGUUCAAAAGUGAAAGGCGGUCUUUCUUUCACUUAUAGAUGGUGCCGGGCUGCAUUAUCUAGUUGUUAAGGUAACGGCUUACUAACGCAACGGUGGAUAGCCGACGCGCGGGGGUGAUCGGGGACGCUGGCACUGAGACUGGGUCCCGGCUCCGACGGGAGGCAGCAGUAGGGAAGCUUCCGAAAUGGGCGAGAGCCUGACGGAGCAGCGCCGCGUGAGUGAUGAAGAUCUUCGGAUCGUAGUACUCUGCUAUUAGCGAAGACCAUGUGUGUAAGUGACUGUGCACGUCUUGACGGUAGCUGAAGAGGAAGCAACGGCUAACUACGUG